ACGAAUGAAUUAAUAAUUAAUUCAUGUGAUAUAUGAAAGUUAUCAGAAGAAAAAGUAGGGUCUUUCACUUCGAUAACCCUAUUUGACCGAGCUGUUCGUCUGGGAAAGGUGAAAGUCUGUUGAAAGUCGAAGACAGCCUUCAAGAAAUGCGACUACUUGUUGGAAAGGACGAGCAACUGAAGACAUGACACGGUUGAGAUAUUUUAGCCAUGUUUGAAAGCGGCAGGUUAAAUACAGAAAAAUCGUCGAUGACAUAAAGAUCAUAUUCAAAGCAUCGUUAUGAGUCCUAUUUGUUCGAAGGAAUGAUCGAUUUCUUUGGUUUCUUAGUAUUUCUAUGUUUCGAUCUUGGAGCACAAAAAUGCCGUCAAGUUUCAGUUACAUAUUGAAGUGAGAACACGAACGAAACUGCCAAAAGUUUCCCACUAUUCUUGACAUCAAUUAUUGGACCUCUUCAAUACAUGUCCAGAAAAUAUUUUCAUUUUUGCAUUCAUCGUUAUCAUUCACAUAAGUGUGAUGAUUUUGCAUUUUGCCUAUUUCUAACAACUGGCCAUUGUUAGAAAUAGCAAGUUCAAUCCUUUUGUCUUUGUGACAAAAGGAUAUAAUAUUUUAUGUCUUCAAAGAGUUGUUCACUUAACAUACAUGUUCAGUCAUGUACAGUGUCGAGCGUACGGACAGUGAAAGAACGCGAACUCUGGCAGUGGUAUGUGCUAAACAAUUGUUUGUUUCCAUUAAACAAAUAACUCCUUCUUCAGUCUUUUUUUAGGUACAAGAGAUGAAGAUGAGGAAGAAGAUAGAGGAGUACGUUAUUAUUUUUCCUGUCCUUAUCUUAACUUGUUUUUAGAUUUUUCGUUUAGAUGAGGAUGAGGCUGAUGAAAAGUAGAGGAGGAUGCUGACGGAGAGACAAGAAGAAUGCAGAUGAAGAGACGAGGAUGCAGAUGAAGAGAAAAGGAGGAUGCAGAUGAAGAAACGAGGAUGCAGCUAAAGAGAAAAGGAGGAUGCAGAUGAAGGGACGAGGAGGAUGAAAAUGAAUGGACAAGGAGGAUCAAGAACGGACAAGGAGGAUCAAGAAGGAUAUAGAGAAACAUGUCGAGCGUACGGACAGUGAAAGAACGCGAACUCUGGCAGUGGUACAAGAGAUGAAGAUCAAGAAGAA